UACAGAGGGGGCAAGCGUUGUUCGGAAUUACUGGGCGUAAAGGGCGCGUAGGCGGCCUGCUAAGUCGAACGUGAAAUCCCUGGGCUCAACCCAGGAACUGCGUCCGAUACUGGUUGGCUUGAAUCCGGGAGAGGGAUGUGGAAUUCCAGGUGUAGCGGUGAAAUGCGUAGAUAUCUGGAGGAACACCGGUGGCGAAGGCGGCAUACUGGACCACCACUGACGCUGAUGCGCGAAGGCGUGGGGAGCGAACGGG
rnacentral:rRNA from 1 species